CUGCCCUACCACCUACACAACCACCUGCCCCAUCACCUACACAACCACCUGCCCCGUCACUUACACCACCACCUACACCAACACCUUGGCCUGAGGCUGAGCCAUAGUAGUAAAUAUAAGAUGCGUUUAAUGGAUGAAGUCUUUCUGGAGGAGCUCAACGGGUUCUUGCAGCAGUAGCAGUAGCAGCCGUGGGGGGUAGGAGGCUUCAGCGUGGCCCUGGCUGUCAGAAGUGUGGGGAGUGCGGUAAGACAUUCCAUUGUCGCGACUCCUUGCGGCGCCACUUGAAGAUCCACCGAGGCACGGCGCUGACGUGCCCCGCCUGCACCAGGCUCUUCGUGCAGCGGGGAGACCUAAAUCGUCACCUGCGGCGCCGACACCCACAACUCGCG